rnacentral:lncRNA from 1 species
CGAAUUGUCUGGAAUUAUUAAUUAUUAUUUAAUAAAGAAUUAUUUGGCUAUAAUAAAUGUUUGUUGAUUAUUUUUAGGUUUUGUGUUACUAGCGGUAAUUUUAUAAGAAAUUAUACUCUCUAGAGUAUAAAUAGAAAGUCUACAAGUAUAUAAGCAUUAAUAUAUAGCUGUGGGCAAAUUGAUCCAAUAAGUUGCUGAGAAUUUAUCGUGGUUUCUUAUUAACUUAAUAAUAAUUUACGUCGAAGUACACGUUGUAUACCGCCAAGAUACAGAAUAGCGCACACGUAGAAAUAUAUGAGACAACGUUAAAUUGCGGAGAAAUUAAAGCUAUAAUUUAACCCGGCAGUUAACUAUUUUCUAUUUUACAUAUACAUAUAUUUCCAUUCAAGUGUGAGUAAAGUGAAACUGAUAGUCGGCAAGAGGAUCACGAUUGCUGAAAAAUUCAGGCACUGUUGCUCUGAGCUUGUAGUAAACGGUCAUACAUUUCUUGGCAGCCUCCAGGUCGAAGUAACAACUGUGAGCAAAUAGAGCUAACUUUUCAUCAGGUAC